UACCACAAAGCUGAGUUAUUGAGAAUUACC
rnacentral:piRNA from 1 species